UGUCUCAAAGAUUAAGCCAUGCAAGUCUAAGUUUAAGCACAUAAACGGCGAAACUGCGAAUGGCUCAUUAAAUCAGUUAUCGUAUAUUUGAUAGUACCUACUACAUGGAUAACCGUGGUAAUUCUAGAGCUAAUACAUGCUUAAAAUCCCGACUUCGGAAGGGAUGUAUUUAUUAGAUUAAAAACCAAUGCCCUUCGGGGCUCACUGGUGAUUCAUAAUAACUUCUCGAAUCGCAUGGCCUUGUGCCGGCGAUGGUUCAUUCAAAUUUCUGCCCUAUCAACUUUCGACGGCUGGGUAUUGGCCAGCCGUGGUUACAACGGGUAACGGAGGGUUAGGGCUUGACCCCGGAGAAGGAGCCUGAGAAACGGCUACUACAUCCAAGGAAGGCAGCAGGCGCGCAAAUUACCCAAUCCCGAUACGGGGAGGUAGUGACAAUAAAUACUGAUACAGGGCUCUUUUGGGUCUUGUAAUUGGAAUGAGUACAAUUUAAAUCCCUUAACGAGGAACAAUUGGAGGGCAAGUCUGGUGCCAGCAGCCGCGGUAAUUCCAGCUCCAAUAGCGUAUAUUAAAGUUGUUGCAGUUAAAAAGCUCGUAGUUGAACCUUGGGCCUGGCUGGCCGGUCUGCCUCACCGCAUGCACUGGUCCGGCCGGGUCUUUCCCUCUGGGGAUCCGCAUGCCCUUCAUUGGGUGUGUCGGGGAACCAGGACUUUUACUGUGAAAAAAUUAGAGUGUUCAAAGCAGGCCUAUGCUCGAAUACAUUAGCAUGGAAUAAUAGAAUAGGACGUGUGGUUCUAUUUUGUUGGUUUCUAGGACCGCCGUAAUGAUUAAUAGGGACAGUCGGGGGCAUCAGUAUUCAAUCGUCAGAGGUGAAAUUCUUGGAUCGAUUGAAGACUAACUACUGCGAAAGCAUUUGCCAAGGAUGUUUUCAUUAAUCAGGAACGAAAGUUAGGGGAUCGAAAACGAUCAGAUACCGUUGUAGUCUUAACCAUAAACUAUGCCGACUAGGGAUCGGACGAUGUUAUUUCUUGACUCGUUCGGCACCUUACACGAAAGUAAAGUUUUUGGGUUCUGGGGGGAGUAUGGUCGCAAGGCUGAAACUUAAAGGAAAUUGGACGGAAG
rnacentral:rRNA from 1 species